AGAGAAAGAAGAAGAACGAGUCAUACUCUUUUUGUUAGUUUUUUCAUCAAUAUUUCUCUUUUUUUGUUUCUUUUUCUCUCCUUCUUUCUC
rnacentral:ribozyme from 13 species